UACGUAGGGGGCAAGCGUUGUCCGGAUUUACUGGGCGUAAAGGGCGUGCAGGCGGUUUGGUAAGUUCAGGGUGAAAGCUCCCGGCUCAACUGGGAGAGGUCCUUGGAUACUGGCAGACUUGAGGAGGGUAGAGGAGAGUGGAAUUCCCGGUGUAGCGGUGAAAUGCGCAGAUAUCAGGAGGAACACCGAUGGCGAAGGCAGGUCUCUGGGCAUUAACUGACGCUGAGGAGCGAAAGCAUGGGGAGCGAACAGG
rnacentral:rRNA from 1 species